rnacentral:lncRNA from 1 species
GUACCAUUCUGGGCCCCAGCUUCCACCAAAUAUCGGGACCCCAGCCCUGGAAACCAACCCCCAAAUUGCUCUCCCUCCUCUAGGAAAAAGAUAAUUUAUCUCCCACUUUGACUCUGUGGUCCCACCCCUUCUCUUCUCUUGUCUAGACUUCCAAGUGCUGGCCUUCAUCUCCCCGCAAGAUGCGCCCCCUCCAACUCUCAGCCUUCAUCUUCCUACUGUCACUGUCUCCUUCACAAGGAGAGCAGCAAGAGAAAGAAAGAGAGAGGCAAGCGAAAUUCCUGAAUGGAUAGACAGAUGCUACGUCAUCGGAGCUGCAUCCUCCACUCCACAAGAGGCUAGGAGCUGGGGGGAGAGAGGCAGUCCAGCCGCAGGGGCCACCCGAACAGUCUCUCCUCCUCACAGAAGCCUGGAGCUGGGCAUCCAAGAAGAAGCAGCCUCAUUUGUUUUCUGGUGUCAUCGUAGGUGGCCACCUAUGGCUUUUGGGCUUCUCACCUGGGGCGGGUGGGUUCUGCACCACCCUCCCACCCUCCUUCCUCCGUGUGGACGAUAGAGCCACAUCCAGCACCACGGACAGCUCCCGGGCGACCAAAAAGAAGAAUGUACUUCAUCUGGUUGGGCUGGAUUCCCUCUGAUAAGCCUUCCCAGUUGACUGAAAGAUGAGGCUAGGCUCUAGCAAGUUGAAGUCAAACCAGCUCCUUCAAGAAGCUUUGAGCAGAAUGAAGUGGGGAGGACCCAGCUUCCAGCCCAGGAAGCCCACUGUACCUGGAGCCAUCUGGGAUAAGACUUUGACCCAUGACUCCCAUAUCCACAGCCUGUCCAUCCUAGCCCAUCCCAGUUUAUCCUGUAUCAUUUGAGCUGGGAUUCCCACAUCCUCUGAGUUGGAAGUCCCAUCUCAAGUCUUCAAUAAAGACUCUUGAAUAUUGAAUCACAUUAA